GCUGGGAUAGCUCAGUCGGUAGAGCAUGAGAUUCUUAAUCUCAGAAUUAUGGGUUUGAGCAAGCCCCACAUUGAGCA